CAGCUGUCAUGGCCGGUAGAGACGGACGUGUUCGGUCCGUUGACGUCCAGGUCGGCCGUCAAACCUACACCAGACCAGUGUGUCGUCUGAUGGUGCUUCCAGAGUUGGAAGAAGAGUGAGUCUUUCUUUCAGGAGGAAUUGAUCCCAAUUCCGGGGCGGCUAUGAAAAGACUCCCUGGAUUUUCGUCCUUUUUUUUCAGUUAUCUUUCUAAUAUGGUGAAUCUGCCAAACUGAAUCCCACUCCACCUGCCAGCUAAGGGGCGGAGACUAUAAAUAGCCUGCUCACCCUUUAGUUCAUCCUUUGCACUCCCUGCCAGCACACCAAUUUAACCCUGUGUCCUGAGUUUCCUCCACAUAUCCUGAAGUGUGCGUCUUCAAGUUAACCACACAAAAUAAUCAAGACCAAAAGGGAAAAUAAAUACUGGUUCUUGCAUUAAA